GAGCGGCGGACGGGUGAGUAACGCGUAGGAAUCUACCUAGUAGAGGGGGACAACAUGUGGAAACGCAUGCUAAUACCGCAUACGCCUUUAGGGGGAAAGCAGGGGAUCUUAGGACCUUGCGCUAUUGGAUGAGCCCAAGUCAGAUUAGCUAGUUGGUGAGGUAAUGGCUCACCAAGGCGACGAUCUGUAGCUGGUCUGAGAGGAUGAUCAGCCACACUGGGACUGAGACACGGCCCAGACUCC
rnacentral:rRNA from 1 species